rnacentral:lncRNA from 1 species
AAAUGCGUGAUAUGGUGCACCUUAGGUGUAAAAUGCAGGAUAAAUAAAAUAUUUAAUUUAGUGAGAACUUAGAAUAGUAAUUCUAGAAGUUAAUGGGAUGAUUUCUAUUUUUAGUCUGAGUUUAGAUGUUGUGCUCUAGUCAAGAGAGAUAGAGUGCUUGUAAACGGUUCGCUAUGGUUUGCCGUUAAAAUUGGAUCCGAGUAAGCUAGAAGACCAUAACUAUAGUUUUAAUGUGAUCUCGACACCUAGUAAUUUCUUUUAAGUGCUAUUAUGUGCCUCGCCUCUAAGAAUUUAAUUCGCUAUCGUGUAGCACUAUUUAGGUUUAUGAUAUUCCUAUCUAUAUGCAUUCAUAUGAAUAUGCAUUUCAUUCAGGUACGUUAAUUAAUCACGUGAAGCGGAAGACGAGCCAAGUCGACCCCAAGCGCGGGCUACUCCGCAUGGUGGUGCGGAUGGACAAACCUGAAGAAGGGAAGACUGAGCAAGUAUCAGGAUAAAAGCUGAUCGCCAAGUGAACGUCGCCUAACAAACACUAACCUAGUGUUAUUCAGGCAAGCCCCAGUGCAUUUGUCACCUCCUUGUGUUUUAAAAUCUUUAUCACCUUGUUCGAUGCAUUAGGUGAUAGGAGUUGUGUGCUAAACAGUUGAUGCAUUUCCUUCCUUGAAAAAUUGAUUACCCUUCCUUGACACCCUUUUAUAAAAACGAUUUUUUAUGAUGCUUAGCCUUGCUUUAGCAAACAAAAAUGUUUUGUUUUAAAACAAAAGUGAUGCUUCAAUGGGUGGGAAUGUUUUCGAAAAUAAAACUUGAUGGUGGAUCCAUCACGGCCGUGAUGGGUUCAACAUCGAAAAAGAUGUACCUUUGCCAGGUACCAAACUUUGGGUUGAAAAUAAUAAAGUUGAGACCGGGCGGUUGACUUGCACGAGAAAGGAGUCUCGGUGUAGUGUCUCCGUCUGAGUCGAUUAAGGACCGUCUCGAUGUAGGCCUGCUGACCGAGGACCCUUUAACUGGUCACAUGCCUCAUCAUGGGUAAGCUUUGCCUCAGGCAGACUAAUACCAGAAUAAGAUAACACGCAAUGGGAGUGGAGAGAUGGCGAGAGUAGCGUGUACCCUCUGUGGCAAGAGGCUGGACGAUGGUGUGUCUGUGCUCUCGGUUCGCGUGAACCUGAUCUGGUAUUAAGAAACCCGGUGGCGAGUUGACAUAUGGAAGGGUUAGGUGCUACAUAUGUCGUGUGAUUGGAGAUCCUCAGUUGAGUAUUAAUCGAUUCGGAUCGCCGUUACUUCUCGGACAUGAAGACUUAGUCACUGACUUACAUGUAGCAAUCGAGUGAACUGAUGGGAUGAUAAAAGACGGCUAGUGCAGAUCAAGUGAUUGAACUAGGGUAGAAAGAACUCUAGAUGCAGGUAAUUUUACUUAACCUGACAAGUAAAAAUGGAUUUCUAAGGAUCCACUUUUAGUAAGCAUUUCUGCAAAAUAGAGUCUUUGAUUCUUGAUAAGCCAUACCUUGAAUCCCUCUAGCCAGCAUACCUUUGGGAGUCUUUUCUUUAGUCGGGUAAGUCUUGCUGAGUAAUUCCAUACUCAGGGUUUUAUUCCCUGUUGUUUUUUAGGUUAUAGUUUUGUGCUGCUGAUGAUAGUGUUAAGUGCCGGUGGGCUUGGCCUUCUUAUAAGUCUAAGUAACCCUUCUAUACUUCUUAUUGAGGAUGGUCACUUGAGCUAGCAUAUAUUUCAAACUUAUAAAUAAUUUAUAACAGUUCAAAGUUUAUUUCUUGAAUCACUAUUGUAAUCACUCCGAUAAACAUAAAGUAAAAUUUUUGUAACUUGUAAAAUUUGGCAAUAAGAUUUCCGCUGCAAAUUGUUGGUGUGUGAUUUGUAUUACUUAAUCUCGUGAUCUUGGUUGUAAGUGGUUUAUCCGAUGUCCUUGGGGCAAUCGGACGGAUCCUGUUAAGUUAUCUGGUGCACAUGCAUAGCCGUCUGAGGUCUUUGAGAUAAGGACAGGUGCAUGUGGGCCUAAUAACUUGGGAGGUUCUGCCACAACAUUUAUCAGUGCAGGAUUAAGUAUAUAUGGUCACAUACAUAUUUUCAAAACAAAAGUUUUGGUUUUGAAAAACCUAUUUUCAACUAAAAACAUUGUUUGGCUUUGAAAAACAGUUUUGAAAAAAAAACUAUAAUGCUAGUGACAUCCUCUGUAAGCCCUAAACUAAGGACUAUCAGGUGGCUUAGUUCAAAACCACUAACCCACAACCGAGGGUAUUGCAUACAUGUGUAUUGUUAUUUUUGAGGCCAUUCAGUUUUGAAUGGAUCAACGCUCAGGUAAGGUGAGAUGUGAGAGCAUGACCGAACAAACGUCGGUCUAGGGAAGAGUAUAUAAAGCGCUUGAUUAUAUACAUAUUCCACAUAUGUAUAUACGAAGGCUGCGAUGUGGAGUAUUUACUUUUCUGGGAAUUCAGUACCCCAUGGAUGUGUAUGGGUAUACAGACAUGGAAAUACUAAGAAGUGUAAUGUACUUGUAACGACGCACCUACGCUUAGGUAAGAAGGUGAGUUACCAUAAUGAGUUGACCAAUGGUUAAAGUGUGGCAACGGCGCCUAUGCGUGGCUCGACGCUUAAUGAUGAGCUGGCCUUCAUAUAGUAAUAUAUGGAGUAUAAACUAUGAUAAACUGUCAUGUGCGAACUGCAUCAUGGGAAACUGGGCUGUGAUGGAUUUUUCUGCAGGUACACUAACCUCGAAAACGUAUGUGUAGCUGACGACUAGCAAAAUAUCGAGAGAGUUGUAAAUAUUCCACCGAUAUAGAACGCUAUUGCCAUGUUAUGUUGGCAAAAACUCGUGAGGACGCAUAAGACGAGCAUGCAUCCUGAUUGUUGCAUUAUGUUUGUCACCUAUACACCCAAAAUGCUUCUCUCAUCUUUAUUCCAGUACCUGUGAUUGUAAAUAAUGUGGUGUCUUAGAGGUAUGUGUUUAGAUGGCUUCUAGUUUUUCUUGGUAUGACUAUUAGUGCAAAUUGUGUUUGCUCUUGUAUUUGAUGUGUCGAUAGAAGGUUGGGGAUUUGUUUGCUUAAACCAAAAAUUAGGACAUGUUCUUAUUUAGUGAACCAUGACCCAAAGUUGAUUUUUUCCGUUAUCACUCCAGGACCAAACACAUAAAAAUAAAAGCCUAGAUAAUUUCUUUGUUGGACCUAAAGUGUACCCGGACUUGAAACAAGAAUCUCGAGUCAUGUCCCCAUCCUAAACCAUAUCCUUAUUCAGUUGGUGCAAGCUGGGGUAACUUAUCCAGUUCGCCUGUUCUUAAGGGUCGUCGUGUUGUUUUACCAACCUGAUUUAGGAAAGACCUGUCCGAGUAUUUUCUUGAAUUUGAUGCCUUUGAUUUCCCCAUAUCUAUCGAAGGCAUAUCAACUUAAUCCUUGGCCUUGUAAUCUCUGCGAUGGGCAUAGAAAUAUGCUUGGGCUGAAAUAACAGUCUCCCAUCAUAUUCGCUCACCAACCAAUUUAGGUUAUGGCCAUGCCCUGUUCAUUUCAUCAGGCCAUGAUCUAUUUGGCUCUCUACUUGUAACCAUCCUUACAGGUGGAGUAUCUCUUUGUACAUUGUCACCCUUGCCCAAUUCAUUUGUGUCGCAUGAGAUUUCUUAUUGGUUAUGUCUGAUAAUGGUGUUAUGACUAAAAACAGUGGUGUCGUGACGAAACUGAGGGCCUUCUGUGUGUGCGCACAUGGUUGCACUACUCGGCACACGCUAGUAUCACAGUUAGUAGUCAUAAUCCAUUAUGAGAUUAUAUCAAUAUGUCAUCUUCCAUAGACCUCCUCCUUGAAACAAUUUCUAUGUUGUUUGUGAAGUGAUCAAGCAACAUCUGUCAUCUCCGUUGUAUCAAAAGGGCAUACCCCUUUCAUGUGUGGUCUUAUUUCUUUUGAUCUUGGUAGUGACUACUCAUACAAGUUCCCUUUACAUCCUUUAUGUAAAGGUGAAGCCUUGGAGCUUUUUAAUGUCGAGAGACAACUGAUUAGCUCUCAAAAUGGGGAUCUGUUUCCCCUGCUGCUGAAAUGCAGGAGUUUGUUCAUUCGCUCUCUUAUUUAAUCCAUGUAUUCCCUAACCAAGUGGAUAAUUCAUCUCGCAUGAGGAAACGGAUGAACAAUUUGACCAAAUAGAUUUUUACCCACAUACAUAAUCUCUUGUUACCAAAGAGAGCUCUCGACCGUUGGCUUACCAAUGGUACUGAGAGGACUUGCUCAAUGUCAAAAGUAGUUCAACAAGUUGGUUUUACUAACUUGUAACUGCCCAAUGAACAAAGAUUGAGUUUAGAGAUCGUUUUAUCGAGUUGUCUAAACUCACUUUGGUUUAACCCACUCUAAAGAAAGCACUUAUAAGAAUCGAGAUUAAGUCGGCCAGUAACCACCUAAUCAUCGCUCUAGUCAUGCCUCGAUCGCCUCACGUGUGCUUUUCCAGCAUGUGUGAUCAAGUCGAGCCAUGGUUAGUGCUUGAUAAAAUGGAUUGGUUGCGAAGGCAGUAUCUACAGAUCCCUCCGUUGGUGAUUUUUUUUUCCGAAUCUUUAUCAUCUUUCUUGGACUUAGAUUUUCUAGCUUACACGAGUUAACUGUGAUGUUAUUUGACAUUCACACCCGUCUCGUGUGCUACGAACUUACUGCGACCACUUGUUGGUAAACCUCUUUCUGUGUGUUUUACCCAAGAGGUUGCAUCUGAUUCUGUUUGGGUAAAAUCGCCUAUUUGCCGCUCGCCCAACAGACUCAGAUAGUACAAUGUCAUCAGAAAAAGUAAACUGCACGCAUGGAACCUUAUGUGUUCUUCUGGCAGACAUCGCCUCUAUUGGUGGACAUCUCUAAAUUAGCUUAAGGCGAUACAUGUUAUGUCCACUAGAGAAACAACAUCCUGAGACACUCGCCUUUAUUUGGAAAUGUCUCACGAUUAUCACUGAUAUGGACGUGGGUUACAUACUUCUCUACUCUUAAAAGUCUUUCGUUCCGAAUCUCGGGACGAGAUUCUUUUAAGGGGGAGGGCUGUAACACCCCUGAUGUUUAUAUUCCGCUCGACAACGAGUAUGGACUUAAGCACGUAAUAUCAGUGGAUAAAACAGAUGCUAAAUAUUAAAUCAUCUUCGUCUAGCACGAUCUUUAUAUCGCAUCUGUUUUGUCUGUCGCGAGUUCGACACCGUUUUUAUUUAUCCGGGCUCUUUCUAAAUUUUCGUGAUGUUCGGAACAUCGUUGUUCCGAAAAUCGGUGAGUCCGAUGAUUAUUUAAAAUCCAUCGCUCGCGCGAAUACGAAAUUUGGAAGCCCGACCUACUCGGAUGAUUUUUAUUCCGAGCAAAUUAAUUUGAACUCGACGACUAAAAUGUUCGGGGCAAAAUAAUUUGAAUCGCGCGGUGUCUGAGAGAAAUCUUGCGCGAGGUUAGGAUCCAAAUUAUUCUUCAUCACACUGUUUUGGCGACGAAAUCGCGUAUACAUUAGCAGAUCUGGUUUCGGCUAGUUUCGGUCGAAUCACACAGAGCAGAUUAAAAUACCGAAGCCGAACUCGUUUCAAGCUGGUCCGGUUACAUCGUGGCCGGAAUAGUCACGAAAAUUAUCCAAACGAGAUUCGGACAGAACCGUCUAAGCUGUUAUUUCUCUGAUUUUCCGUCGUGAUUCGGAAAAUAGAGUGUGUAGCCGUUUGCUAUAUUGCACGUCGACUCUUUAAUCAUUGCUAAUGAUCUCGAUUCUAAAAUAUCAGUGAUUUUUGGUAAAAAGAAAAAAAGAAAAUAAAAAAAGGAAAAAUAUCUUCAAUUCCUUAACCCCCGUCGGUCCCUAUCCCUGAAUUUUUUCACUGCCGCGCGUGGUCAGCGUUCCUAUCCUGUCGACUGAUAUUUUGAAACAGGACACGCUCACACGCAUACGCGUCUACGCGCGAGACAGCGAACCGUCGCUCUGCACUUGGAUAUUUCAAGCCGCCGCCCUUGGAUUCUUACAAAUCUCGCCGAGCUCAAUCCCAAGCUGCCAUGCACCCAAUUCCAUCUCCUUCCCCAGCUCCGGCGUCCGUGGCACCUAGGCCAUGGCUCUGUGCUCGCCGGUUCGUCCUAAGCGUUGGGCAUGUGCUCCCCUGCCCCUCUGUCCGCCGACGACUCUCCCUUACCAUCUCCUCGCUGGUUCAAGACGCCCAACCUUCUUCUCCCUGCUCGGAUCCCGCUCGUGGAGCUCCCUUCCUCUACCUUGGCCGCCGUUGAGCUCACCCAGCGGCCCUUCCUCUACCUCCCGCAAGCUCCCAGCGAUGCGCCCCAGGUCCCUGCGCACAGCCGCCACCGGCCGAGCUCGCCCCCGGCACUUCGCUCCUCCAUAGUCGCGCCCUGGAGCUCGCCCAGCGUUCUUCCACGCUGAUGGUCGGUGGUCUCCUUACAGCGACACCGAUUCCUGCUCCCGUGGAUGACGGCGGCAGGAGAUGCUUCUCCCCCGCGCUCGCCCAUGGACGCCAGCCGCGCCCCCUUCUCGUCGUGGAGCUUGCCGCGCCCUUCCAGUUCCCUCUGCCCGGCCAUGGAGCUCGCCCCUGGCUUGGAUUCCAGCGCCCCGCUCCCUGUUUGCCCCUGCUCGCCUGGCCACUACGCAGCCCCCUCGGCUUCUCCUCCCCAGCACGCCACGCCCAGCUCCCUGCGCGCGUCCCUCUGUUGGCCGGAGUACCCUGGCCCGACCCCGUGCUGCGCUGGCCCAGCCGUGGUCUCCAGCUCGCCGGCCGCGAGUCCCUACCCAUGGCCGCUGUGCCGAGUUCUUCUCCAGCGUCGUGAAGCCCCUGCUCCUCGCUCGCCUCCAUGGUGUUGCCGUAGAAUUUCCUCGCCGCGCCCUUGCCAAGCUCUGGCGCGCGUAGUCCUGUUUCAAUGAUGGCCGCUCAUUCCUUCUCUGGUGCUCGCCGAUGGCGCGCAGUCGCGUCUUCUCAUUCGACCUGCUCCGGAUCCGAAGCUGGUCGCCCUAUGUGCUCGACUUUGUCUUAUCGCAGAAACCCCAACGUCGUCGACCUUGCCGAUUGUCGUCAUUCGUCGUCGCGUCGUGCGUGCAGCAGCCCCAGAUCUGUGCAGCUCUGCUCUUGUUGUCGACAUCGCUCGCCGUGGCUCAGCUUGCUAGCUUGUCGUUGUUUCGUCGUCUCGUCUUGAUGUCAGUCCCUACGUGGCAUCUCCGACAUAUAUUCACGCCGACAAAAGAAUCCCAAGAAGAUAUAGAGAAGCAAGUCAAUCAUCGCCAUUUAUACGGAGUUCUAGUUAAUAUGGAGAGAUUCCAAGAAUUGCGGAUGGAAGAGAAAGUAAAGCUCCGUUCUAUACUCAUCAACUGUUUGAUCGAAGAUUUUAUUCGGAGGCUGUCGACGUUCUCGCAAGCUUUGAGUCGGACUUGCUUUGGAUGAGAAAUCCCUGAUGUUCGAGAGAGGCCUGUAAGCGCUCUCUUGGGACUCGACCAAAUGACUAAAUUGGAAAACCAUCAUCGCCCUCGCGGAUAUCGAAUCCAUUCGGUCUUGGUAAGCCAAUUUAUUAUUUCGGUUAAUCGAAUUGGAUUAACUAGACUCAUUAGUUGUAAUAAUUCUUGUGUUUAGCAGAUGCGUCGUAUUUGUGUUAGAUGCUUGCUAAAAUAUCUCAGCCCCUCUGGUAAUGUAAUUGUGUGAAAUAAAUGCGUGAUAUGGUGCACCUUAGGUGUAAAAUGCAGGAUAAAUAAAAUAUUUAAUUUAGUGAGAACUUAGAAUAGUAAUUCUAGAAGUUAAUGGGAUGAUUUCUAUUUUUAGUCUGAGUUUAGAUGUUGUGCUCUAGUUAAGAGAGAUAGAGUGCUUGUAAACGGUUCGCUAUGGUUUGCCGUUAAAAUUGGAUCCGAGUAAGCUAGAAGACCAUAACUAUAGUUUUAAUGUGAUCUCGACACCUAGUAAUUUCUUUUAAGUGCUAUUAUGUGCCUCGCCGCUAAGAAUUUAAUUCGCUAUCGCGUAGCACUAUUUAGGUUUAUGAUUGUCGGCGUUUCGAGACCGGGGGGUCCCCGAGCCGACGAGUGAGUGUGCCGCGUGCCCUAGCCCAGAUGGGUCGAGCGCGUGGGCGAGCGCGAAGGGGGGAGAAGCGAGGUGGCCGGAGACGGGCGUGAGAGAGGUGGAAAUCCCGCGGCCUUCGUGUUCGUCCCGCGCCCAGGUCGGGUGCGCUUGCAGUAGGGGGUUACAAGCGUCCACACGGGUGAGGGAAGCGAGCGGCCCCAAGAGAGCGCUUGUCCCGUCCUCGUCCCCGCGCGGCCAACUUUCUCUAAGAAGGCCCUGGUCCUUCCUUUUAUAGGCGUAAGGAGAGGAUCCAGGUGUACAAUGGGGGUGUAGCAGAGUGCUACGUGUCUAGCGGAGGGAGAGCUAGCGCCCUAAGUACAUGCCAAUGUGGCAGCCGGAGAGAUCUUGGCACCCUGCUGGCGUGAUGUCGUGGCUGUCAGAGGAGCAACGGAGCCUGGCGGAGGGACAGCUGUCGGAGCGGUCGAGUCCUUGCUGACGUCCCCCUGCUUCCGUAAGAGAGCUGAGAGCCGCCGUCGUCACAGAGCUUGGGGCGCCAUCAUCGCCCAUCUGGCGGAGCUAGCCAGAUGGGACACCGGUCUUGUUCUCCGUGACCCGAGCCGGCUCGGGGUAGGAUGAUGAUGGCGCUCCUUGUUGACGUGGCGGGCCUGCGCCCUA